CAAUUCCUUCACCUUACGUUGCCACAAAACAGCGGAAAUAUCGAUUCUUUAGUAAAGUAAACGCUGUCGCUCGAUCUACAUUUUUCCGUAUAGAGAUGCUAAUCGGUUAAUAAGCCAUUAAAAAUCUGUGAGGCUAAAUAAUACACGGCCAUAUCUGAUGGAGCCUAAACUAAUUUUUGGCUUGCAGCUUGAUGGGGGUACAGUGUAUAAAAAAUUGCUUCACUUUUAACUUUAUUUUUCGUAUAAGGAACGUUAAUAUCAGCGUUAACUUUUUGAUUUCAAGAUUGCGUCAGAGAAAAGCAAAUUUGAACAUGCAAACACACCGAAAAGGGUUAACAGUUUUCUCUGUUAAUACAAAAUUGUACUGGAUUGCAUUUUUACAUUAAUAAAACUUUUUUAAUCUAAUUUUAAUAUAAAAUUAGUUUUUUGUACAAAUCUAUACUUUGCAUAAUUAAGUCACGCAUAUGCGUAGCUAUGAAACAUACUUUUUCUUUUGCUUAACAAGCAAGAAGUGUUUGCUUUAAAAAAUCAAACCCAAUUGAAACUAAUUUAGGAAAUCCUUUUAUUGGUUAAGCAAAGACAACUAAAGAAAGAAACAUGUUUAUAUUUUACAAGGAAGCAAAUUAUUUACGUAAACUAAAUUAGUUCUAAUCAAAAAUAAUGUUUUUAAAAAUAUUGAUGGCAAGUAAGCAAAUAUAGCAAUACAAUAAAAUAAAUAGAAAGUUGUGCAAUAAACCAAGACUUACUCAAGCGUAUGUUAAUAUUUGAAGUACUGUGGUUAUAAAUUAGGCUGUUAAAAAGUGAAAACAUCAUUUCAGUCGUAACCUUUGCAUUGACUAUCUAAUUCUAUUCUAAACAUCAUCAUGAAGCAAAUUAUAUUCGUUUUCGCUUUUAUGCUGAUCGCAUACUGUUCGUGCGACACAAUACAAGAAUGGUGUUGGAAAGACAAUGUUCAUUUCCAAAAAAAAGGUACAGGCAAUGUGAUUGCCACAUUAUGGCUUGACGCUGGAGUUGACGCUGACUUAUCUCGAAAAUGCAUCGCAGAGUGCUACAAACGCCGUAACUGCAAGCAGAUUUCAUACAACCAUCAAGCACUUCAGCUUUCGCAUGAAUGUAUCUUGUACAGCUCUGCAGGUGGAAGGUUUGAUCAAGAAUGGAAAACCAUCCAAUGCCCAUACUGUCCUGACUGCUAAAGUUUCUUUAUGUUAUUUUUGACAUAUUAAGAGUAAAUUUUAAUUUAAUUUAA